UUCCGGUUGAUCCUGCCGGAAGCCAUUGCUAUCGGAGUCCGAUUUAGCCAUGCUAGUCGCGCGGGUUCAGACCCGCGGCGUAUAGCUCAGUAACACGUGGCCAAACUACCCUAUGGACAGGAACAACCUCGGGAAACUGAGGCUAAUCCCUGAUACAGCUCUCAUGCUGGAGUGCCGAGAGCUGGAAACGCCCCGGCGCCAUAGGAUGUGGCUGCGGCCGAUUAGGUAGAUGGUGGGGUAACGGCCCACCAUGCCAAUAAUCGGUACGGGUUGUGAGAGCAAGAGCCCGGAGACGGUAUCUGAGACAAGAUACCGGGCCCUACGGGGCGCAGCAGGCGCGAAACCUUUACACUGCACGACAGUGCGAUAAGGGGACUCCGAGUGCGAGGGCAUAUAGUCCUCGCUUUUCUGUACCGUAGGGAGGUACAGGAACAAGUGCUGGGCAAGACCGGUGCCAGCCGCCGCGGUAAUACCGGCAGCACGAGUGAUGGCCGAUAUUAUUGGGCCUAAAGCGUCCGUAGCCGGCCGUGCAAGUCCGUUGGGAAAUCGACGCGCUCAACGCGUCGGCGUCCAGCGGAAACUGUUCGGCUUGGGGCCGGAAGACCUGGGGGGUACGUCCGGGGUAGGAGUGAAAUCCUGUAAUCCUGGACGGACCACCAAUGGCGAAAGCACCUCAGGAGGACGGACCCGACGGUGAGGGACGAAAGCUAGGGUCUCGAACCGGAUUAGAUACCCGGGUAGUCCUAGCUGUAAACGAUGCUCGCUAGGUGUGCCACAGGCUACGAGCCUGUGCUGCGCCCUAGGGAAGCCGAGAAGCGAGCCGCCUGGGAAGUACGUCUGCAAGGAUGAAACUUAAAGGAAUUGGCGGGGGAGCACCACAACCGGAGGAGCCUGCGGUUUAAUUGGACUCAACGCCGGA
rnacentral:rRNA from 1 species